rnacentral:rRNA from 1 species
GUGAGGAAUUUUCCGCAAUGGGCGAAAGCCUGACGGAGCAAUGCCGCGUGAAGGAUGAAGGCCUAUGGGUUGUAAACUUCUUUUCUCAGAAAAGAAUUAUGACGGUAUCUGAGGAAUAAGCAUCGGCUAACUCUGUGCCAGCAGCCGCGGUAAGACAGAGGAUGCAAGCGUUAUCCGGAAUGAUUGGGCGUAAAGCGUCUGUAGGUUGUUUAAAAAGUAUUCUGUCAAAGAUUAGGGCUUAACCCUAGAUAGGCAGAAUAAACUUUUAAGCUAGAGUUUGGUAGAGGCAGAGGGAAUUCCCGGUGGAGCGGUGAAAUGCGUAGAUAUCGGGGGGAACACCAAAGGCGAAGGCACUCUGCUGGGCCAAUACUAACACUGAGAGACGAAAGCGAGGGGAGCAAAUGGGAUUAGAAACCCCUGUAGUCC